rnacentral:tRNA from 2 species
GCAGGUCGCUGGAGUAGCCGCUGGUGUCGUUCGGGUCGGCGCGGUAGGUGCCCGGGUUCGGGAACGCGGUGACCUGCGCC